CGAAGGGGCUAGCGUUGUUCGGAAUUACUGGGCGUAAAGCGCACGUAGGCGGAUAUUUAAGUCAGGGGUGAAAUCCCGGGGCUCAACCCGGAACUGCCUUUGAUACUGGGUAUCUGGAGUCCGGAAGAGGUGAGUGGAAUUCCGAGUGUAGAGGUGAAAUUCGUAGAUAUUCGGAGGAACACCAGUGGCGAAGGCGGCUCACUGGUCCGGUACUGACGCUGAGGUGCGAAAGCGUGGGAGCAAACAGGAUU
rnacentral:rRNA from 1 species